UACAGAGGGUGCGAGCGUUAAUCGGAAUUACUGGGCGUAAAGCGCGCGUAGGCGGCUUUUCAAGCCGAUUGUGAAAUCCCCGGGCUCAACCUGGGAACUGCAGUCGAGACUGUCUAGCUAGAGUAUGGGAGAGGGAAGUGGAAUUUCAGGUGUAGCGGUGAAAUGCGUAGAUAUCUGAAGGAACAUCAGUGGCGAAAGCGACUUCCUGGACCAAUACUGACGCUCAUGUGCGAAAGCGUGGGGAGCAAACAGG
rnacentral:rRNA from 1 species